GCCCGCAGUGCUGGUGCGCGGCGGGGCCGCAGCCACUGCCGCCUUUCCUCGGCAAGUACAUGUCCUAACUAAAAGAUGAACCUACGCGAGUCAGCGAGUCACAGAAGGCAGCGGGUUGGAAAAUCCUUCUGAGGCCAUCGCGCACCGUGACCGAACGCCGCCAUGUAAAUAGAGCCACGGCAUGGAGUGCCACGUCCAGUCUUUCCUUAAACACCUCCAGGAAUGGCGACUCCACCACCUCCCUGACCAGCCCACCACAAUAUCUAAUCUCCCUUUCUCUGAAGAAAUGUUUCCUAAUGUCCAACCUAAACCUCCCGGUACUGCUGAAGGCUGUGUCCUCCUGUCCUAUCUUUAGUUGCCUGAGAGAAGGGGCCGACACCCACCUGGCUACAGCCUCCUUUCAGGCAGUUGUAGAGGCUGCAAAUGUCAUCCCCGAGUCUCCCUUUCCUCCUGGGUAAACAACGUUGUCCCCUCAGCGGCUCCUCAUAGGAUGUGUGCUCCAGACCCUUCACCAGUUCCACUGCCCUUCUCUGGGCUCCAGAGUCACUGGACUCUGGGCAUCAAGUGAAAGAAGGAGGUGAUGUCUAAAACCAAAUGAAUUAUUUAAACCAUGGAGAUCAUCAUCUUAGGACAUUUUGGAUCUUGAAAAUUAUGUUUGUUCAAAAGCAGCUGGACUGAAUCACAAGAGAAAAAAAACCAAAACAAAAAAAAAAAAAAGUUUCAAAGGACAAAACUUCUGGCUUACAAAGUCCCUGAACCUCUAGUGGCUGGGACAGUAUUCUGGAGUAAUGACACUUCCCUGGGCACUGUCUGAGGACAACAAUCAAAGUGAGUGGGUACUGAACUGGCUGACCAGGUACAGUCAUUUUCACUAGGAUGUCUCAACAUAUUUCUGCAAUUCAGCAGAAGGCUUUUUUCCUAAGCACUGGGUUUAUGCUCACAAACUUUACAGUUUUGCCAAAUCAACAUCCACUAGUCAAAAUUCUCCUCAAAAAAAUAACCUAACCCACAGUCAGAAACUUCAAUAUUUAAGCUGCACAUUCUAGCCCUCUUGAGCUAUGCCUGUGCCAGUAAGUAGAAUAGUUUAUAUGUUUAUAUUUUGUGUUUCUUUCAGAUGUAGAUAGUUAUAUCAUCAUUUGAAAACUCUCAGAAAUUAUUUAGAGCAAUAUAGAAUUUUACCACUCUGUGGCGCCAGAUAAUUAAAAAGAGGUUGAGGUUUUAAAGGGAAGCCAUGUACUCUCAUAAACUGUAGUUUUCCUGAGUAAAAAAAGCCUUUAUUAGUAACUGAAGUAACUCCAGAUUCUUCCAUCCAAAGGUACCAAAGCACAAAUACUAGAGGUUAUUUAGACAAAAUGCCACUUUUCUGUUACUGAAAAAUAAGUCACAGCCUUGAAAAAGCAACACUUUAAGUCAUCUCAUAAUAAUAAUAAUUGACCAAAAAUGAUCUUUCUCCCUUUCUCUUCUCCACUUAAACAAUACCUUAAAAGUUUUCUGUCAAGAAAUAUACUUUUUAAUUAAUUUGACCAUCACCGAAAAUAAUCAAUUUAUUUAUAUCACAGUUUUUUAAUUGCAACUAGUGUAAAAAAAUGGGAACCUUUUUCUCUAUUUCAAGUCUCAAAUAUGUAUGUCACCCUUUAAAGAAUCCACAGAACAACAACUUACAGAAGACAUUGUAUGGUCUAAGAUUUUAGAAUCACAAGAUAUUUCCUGGCAUAUAUGUCCUACUGUAGACACACAUGCCAAUCUGAAAUACCUAAACUUAAAUGGUUUCAAUAUUUAUCUAUGUGAGAAAAGACCAGAAAAAUCUCCUUUUGUCAUGAAGGGGUAAGGUCCUGGUCCAGCAUGUCAGAAUGACGUUCUACAUACGCAGAAAAGUCUCAUAAACCCAAAAUUUUAUGUUCUAGUUGCAGAUUUGAUGACAACUGUCUCUGGAAUGAAGCUGGUGGCAUUUUUUGGAUUAGCUUUCACACACCAGAGUAGAUGUUUUGCAAUACCAGGUUCAUAAUACUUUUUAACAAAUGAGGUUAUUGUUUAACAAGACAACCAGGAACUUAGUACUUACUUUCUUGCAUUAAGUCAAUUACAGACAGUAAAAAAUUUACAACAUCUUCAGCCCAUGGGGAGGCUAAUAUUUAAAAUUCACAUUACAGAGAGAAAUAUUUCUUACUGUUCUGUCUUUGUUUCACUUCUGCAGCUAACAAAUGAUCACUCCAAAGUGCAGAUACCUUGCAGUUUGUUUCUACAAUGUACUGUGUAUGAGGGUUUUUUUGCAUUUCUCCACAUAUAUUCAGGAAUGUCUGCAGAUUUAUUACUGCUUGCAUGUACCUUCCAUCAGCAACAACA